rnacentral:rRNA from 1 species
UAAGCGGAGGAAAAGAAACCAACAGGGAUUGCCUCAGUAACGGCGAGUGAAGCGGCAAAAGCUCAAAUUUGAAAUCCCCCGGGAAUUGUAAUUUGAAGAGAUUUGGGUCCGGCCGGCAGGGGUUAAGUCCACUGGAAAGUGGCGCCACAGAGGGUGACAGCCCCGUGAACCCCUUUAACGCCUUCAUCCCAGAUCUCCAAGAGUCGAGUUGUUUGGGAAUGCAGCUCUAAGUGGGUGGUAAAUUCCAUCUAAAGCUAAAUACCGGCGAGAGACCGAUAGCGAACAAGUACAGUGAUGGAAAGAUGAAAAGCACUUUGAAAAGAGAGUGAAAAAGUACGUGAAAUUGUUGAAAGGGAAGGGCUUGCAAGCAGACACUUAACUGGGCCAGCAUCGGGGCGGCGGGAAACAAAACCACCGGGGAAUGUACCUCUCGAGGAUUAUAACCCCGGUC